rnacentral:lncRNA from 1 species
UGACGUGGCUUGAAUACAUGGCAUGUUAGUGCUUAUGUGUUAAAAUUGAGUCAUUUUUUAAUUUUUCUUUUAUCAUUAUAUACAAGUAAUAAGGGCAAAAUAGUAAAUUAAUAAUAAAACAAAACAAUAAACAAAAUAUAACUAAACCCAUCCUCUCUCUCUCUCUCUCUCACUUUUUCGGCGACCUCCAUAGCCACCACCUCCACCAUACCCUAAUCGCGCUAAGCUCCAUCUCCGACUUGAACUUCACCGACCCAAACAUACACUUCCACAACCUUGCCUUCGCCGACAUCGAAGUCCAGCAGAAGAGGUCCUGUCUGGUUCUUCAAUCGGUAGAAACAACAACUCUGGCCACGGGUUGAAAGAAGAAAUUGGUGAGCGCACUUUUUUCUCACCAAGUUCUGGGACUAUGAGAAGUAUGUCUGGUUCUUCAGUGGGUGAUUCUUCUUGCCACUUGGAGCCACUAAAAAUGGGUGGUUCUCCAUUGAAACAGAGGACUUGAAAUUCUCGCCUCUCUCUUUUGAUCCCUGUUUCAAAAUAAGAUCCAAAAGAAUAUGGGAAGAAGCAGAUUAGAACAGAACCCAAGUUUUCAGAUCCAAAAAAAAGAUUAGAACAAUUAAAACUAAAAAUAUGGGAAGCAGCAGCAGAAUCGGAACAUGAACAGAGAAACCGAUCAGGAUACAUCAUGCAUCGACCAGACCAAAACAAAAGAUCAGAACCCAAAAUCAAAUCACCAGAAACAUAUAACCCAAAACAAAAAAGAAGCAGUUGAAACAAAUCCUGACUCUGGAACUCACAGUUUGGUAGCCAUGAAAAUCACACUCACCGGAGAAUGACGUCAACAUCACGGAUCUAAAAGGCGGCAAGAGCUUUUAAGAGCUUUUUGCCUAAAUACAAAAAUCUUCGUCAACAAUCAAGCAAAAUUUUGGAUAAUCCUUUCCAGAGCUUUUUGCCUAAAUACAAAAAUCAAGCAAAAUUUUGGAUCUAUACAACAAUAAAUACAACUCUUUGAAGCAAAGAAUCACCGUUGACGGCAAAUUAGACCGUGAAUCACCAAGAUACUCCAAAAGAAGUACAAAUACCUCAAUUUUUCGAACCACAGACCGCGAAUUCUUCUGCUGGAAUGGCAGCUUCUUGCCUGAAAAAGAUGAGAUUAAGCGACGACGAACUUCUUUUCCACCGGCGCUAAAAACGCCUCAAGCGACGGCGACCUUCUCUUCCUUAAGGAAAAAAUUGCAGCUGAAGCCAUCAAACCAAACCCUAUAAUCAGAGAAGAAAAUCCCGAGCCGCUCUCUCUUCUCAAUGGCUUUGAUCGAAGCUGGGGUAUGUUUGUUUAAUUUUAUUUAGCCUUUUGUUGUUUUUAAUUGGUAUUAAUAUUUAAUAUAGGGUGAUUUGAC